AGUGAACGCUGGCGGUAGACCUAACACAUGCAAGUCGAACGGCAGCACAGUAAGAGCUUGCUCUUACGGGUGGCGAGUGGCGGACGGGUGAGGAAUACAUCGGAAUCUACUUUUUCGUGGGGGAUAACGUAGGGAAACUUACGCUAAUACCGCAUACGACCUACGGGUGAAAGCAGGGGAUCUUCGGACCUUGCGCGAUUGAAUGAGUCGAUGUCGGAUUAGCUAGUUGGCGGGGUAAAGGCCCACCAAGGCGACGAUCCGUAGCUGGUCUGAGAGGAUGAUCAGCCACACUGGAACUGAGACACGGUCCAGACUCCUACGGGAGGCAGCAGUGGGGAAUAUUGGACAAUGGGCGCAAGCCUGAUCCAGCCAUACCGCGUGGGUGAAGAAGGCCUUCGGGUUGUAAAGCCCUUUUGUUGGGAAAGAAAAGCAGCAGGUUAAUACCCCGCUGUUCUGACGGUACCCAAAGAAUAAGCACCGGCUAACUUCGUG
rnacentral:rRNA from 1 species